GAUGAACGCUGGCGGUAUGCUUAACACAUGCAAGUCGAACGGGGUUCAUAGUCACCUAGUGGCGGACGGGUGAGUAACGCGUGAGAAUCUGGCCUCAGGUCCGGGACAACCACGGGAAACGGUGGCUAAUACCGGAUGUGCCAUAUUGGUGAAAGAUUAAUUGCCUGAGGAUGAGCUCGCGUCUGAUUAGCUAGUUGGUGGGGUAAAGGCUUACCAAGGCGACGAUCAGUAACUGGUCUGAGAGGAUGACCAGUCACACUGGGACUGAGACACGGCCCAGACUCCUACGGGAGGCAGCAGUGGGGAAUUUUCCGCAAUGGGCGAAAGCCUGACGGAGCAAUACCGCGUGAGGGAGGAAGGCUCUUGGGUUGUAAACCUCUUUUCUCAGGGAAGAAGAAUGACGGUACCUGAGGAAUCAGCAUCGGCUAACUCCGUG
rnacentral:rRNA from 1 species